UGGGGAAUAUUGGACAAUGGGCGAAAGCCUGAUCCAGCAAUGCCGCGUGAGUGAUGAAGGCCUUAGGGUUGUAAAGCUCUUUUACCAGGGAUGAUAAUGACAGUACCUGGAGAAUAAGCUCCGGCUAACUCCGUGCCAGCAGCCGCGGUAAUACGGAGGGAGCUAGCGUUGUUCGGAAUUACUGGGCGUAAAGCGUACGUAGGCGGUGAUUCAAGUCAGAGGUGAAAGCCUGGAGCUCAACUCCAGAACUGCCUUUGAAACUAGAUCGCUAGAAUUGCGGAGAGGUGAGUGGAAUUCCGAGUGUAGAGGUGAAAUUCGUAGAUAUUCGGAAGAACACCAGUGGCGAAGGCGGCUCACUGGACGCAUAUUGACGCUGAGGUACGAAAGCGUGGGGAGCAAACAGGAUUAGAUACCCUAGUAGUCCCUGAGCGGGCUGGCAAGGCGCAU
rnacentral:rRNA from 1 species